AGAGUUUGAUCCUGGCUCAGGAUGAACGCUGGCGGCGUGCUUAACACAUGCAAGUCGAACGAUGAAGCCCUUCGGGGUGGAUUAGUGGCGAACGGGUGAGUAACACGUGGGCAAUCUGCCCUGCACUCUGGGACAAGCCCUGGAAACGGGGUCUAAUACCGGAUAACACUUUUCCCUGCAUGGGGAAAGGUUAAAAGCUCCGGCGGUGCAGGAUGAGCCCGCGGCCUAUCAGCUUGUUGGUGGGGUGAUGGCCUACCAAGGCGACGACGGGUAGCCGGCCUGAGAGGGCGACCGGCCACACUGGGACUGAGACACGGCCCAGACUCCUACGGGAGGCAGCAGUGGGGAAUAUUGCACAAUGGGCGAAAGCCUGAUGCAGCGACGCCGCGUGAGGGAUGACGGCCUUCGGGUUGUAAACCUCUUUCAGCAGGGAAGAAGCGAAAGUGACGGUACCUGCAGAAGAAGCGCCGGCUAACUACGUGCCAGCAGCCGCGGUAAUACGUAGGGCGCAAGCGUUGUCCGGAAUUAUUGGGCGUAAAGAGCUCGUAGGCGGCUUGUCACGUCGGAUGUGAAAGCCCGGGGCUUAACCCCGGGUCUGCAUUCGAUACGGGCAGGCUAGAGUGUGGUAGGGGAGAUCGGAAUUCCUGGUGUAGCGGUGAAAUGCGCAGAUAUCAGGAGGAACACCGGUGGCGAAGGCGGAUCUCUGGGCCAUUACUGACGCUGAGGAGCGAAAGCGUGGGGAGCGAACAGGAUUAGAUACCCUGGUAGUCCACGCCGUAAACGUUGGGAACUAGGUGUUGGCGACAUUCCACGUCGUCGGUGCCGCAGCUAACGCAUUAAGUUCCCCGCCUGGGGAGUACGGCCGCAAGGUAAAACUCAAAGGAAUUGACGG
rnacentral:rRNA from 1 species